rnacentral:rRNA from 1 species
CAGCAGCCGCGUUAAUACGAAGGGUGCAAGCGUUAAUCGGAAUUACUGGGCGUAAAGCGUGCGUAGGCGGUUUGUUAAGUCUGCUGUGAAAUCCCCGGGCUCAACCUGGGAAUGGCAGUGGAUACUGGCAAGCUAGAGUGUGUCAGAGGAUGGUGGAAUUCCCGGUGUAGCGGUGAAAUGCGUAGAGAUCGGGAGGAACAUCAGUGGCGAAGGCGGCCAUCUGGGACAACACUGACGCUGAGGCACGAAAGCGUAGGGAGCAAACAGGAUUAGAUACCCGUGUAGUCCCUGUCUCUUAUAC